AAGUGGACUCGUCUGAUCGAGUGUCUGCGCCAAGCUGAGAGUGCACAUGUCUUCCAGGGCGGAGCGCUGU
rnacentral:SRP_RNA from 1 species